rnacentral:piRNA from 1 species
UGGGCAAUGAUGAACUGCUGAGUUCUUUC